rnacentral:lncRNA from 1 species
UUCGCCCCCGGGCCUUUCAGUGGCGCGGGCCGAGUGGCCAUGGCGCUCGGGUGCGCGCAGUGCACGCGGUGAGCUGGAGACGCAGGCAUUGCGCGGCCCACCGGCUGAGCCCGCUCUCCCUGCGAGGGGGGCGCAGCUCGGUGGAGAGGGUGGCCCGGAGGACCGGGAACCGGGCUGGAGGCGCGCGGGGCUCACACCGCGGGGUCCGCGGGGAGCCGGGCCUCGGGCUGCAGGUGCAGGCUUGUGGCGGGUUAUCACCGGAGUGGGACUGGUGACUUCAUUAGAAGAGGAAGGAAGACCUGAGCUGGCCUGUGAAUAUGCUCCGCCCCCUGGCCAUGUGACACCUGCGCCACCCUCAGGACUCUGCAGAGUCCCCAGCAGCAAGAAGGCCCUCACCAGGUGCAGCCCCUCAACCUUGGACUUCUCAGCCCCCAGGGCUGUAACAAAUAAAUUCUUUUUUAAAGUAA